rnacentral:rRNA from 1 species
UUGAACGCUGGCGGCAGGCCUAACACAUGCCAGUCGAACGGUAACAGAAAGCAGCUUGCUGCUUUGCUGACGAGUGGCGGACGGGUGAGUAAUGUCUGGGAAACUGCCUGAUGGAGGGGGAUAACUACUGGAAACGGUAGCUAAUACCGCAUAACGUCGCAAGACCAAAGAGGGGGACCUUCGGGCCUCUUGCCAUCGGAUGUGCCCAGAUGGGAUUAGCUAGUAGGUGGGGUAAAGGCUCACCUAGGCGACGAUCCCUAGCUGGUCUGAGAGGAUGACCAGCCACACUGGAACUGAGACACGGUCCAGACUCCUACGGGAGGCAGCAGUGGGGAAUAUUGCACAAUGGGCGCAAGCCUGAUGCAGCCAUGCCGCGUGUAUGAAGAAGGCCUUCGGGUUGUAAAGUACUUUCAGCGGGGAGGAAGGGAGUAAAGUUAAUACCUUUGCUCAUUGACGUUACCCGCAGAAGAAGCACCGGCUAACUCCGUG